CGCUGAAGCUUGGUGCUUGCACCGAGCGGAUGAGUUGCGAACGGGUGAGUAACGCGUAGGUAACCUGCCUGGUAGCGGGGGAUAACUAUUGGAAACGAUAGCUAAUACCGCAUGAAAUGGAUUAUCGCAUGAUAAUCGAUUGAAAGGUGCAAAUGCAUCACUACCAGAUGGACCUGCGUUGUAUUAGCUAGUUGGUGGGGUAACGGCUCACCAAGGCAACGAUACAUAGCCGACCUGAGAGGGUGAUCGGCCACACUGGGACUGAGACACGGCCCAGACUCCUACGGGAGGCAGCAGUAGGGAAUCUUCGGCAAUGGACGGAAGUCUGACCGAGCAACGCCGCGUGAGUGAAGAAGGUUUUCGGAUCGUAAAGCUCUGUUGUAAGAGAAGAACGAGUGUGAGAGUGGAAAGUUCACACUGUGACGGUAUCUUACCAGAAAGGGACGGCUAACUACGUGCCAGCAGCCGCGGUAAUACGUAGGUCCCGAGCGUUGUCCGGAUUUAUUGGGCGUAAAGCGAGCGCAGGCGGUUAGAUAAGUCUGAAGUUAAAGGCUGUGGCUUAACCAUAGUACGCUUUGGAAACUGUUUAACUUGAGUGCAAGAGGGGAGAGUGGAAUUCCAUGUGUAGCGGUGAAAUGCGUAGAUAUAUGGAGGAACACCGGUGGCGAAAGCGGCUCUCUGGCUUGUAACUGACGCUGAGGCUCG
rnacentral:rRNA from 1 species